UAGUGGCCUACCAUGGUUUCAAACGGGUACGGGAAUAAGGGUCGAUUCCGGAGAGGGAGCCUGAGAAACGGUUACCACAUCCAAGGAAGGCAGCAGGCGCGCAAAUUACCCAAUCCCGACACGGGGAGGUUAGUGACAAUAAAUAACGAAUAUAGGGCUCUUUCGGGGUCUUGAUAAUUGGAAUGAGUACAAUUUAAAUCCGGUUAACGAGGAACAAUUGGAGGGCAAGUCCUGGUGCCAGCAGCCGCGGUAAUUCCAGCUCCAAUAGCGUAUAUUAAAGUUGUUGCAGUUAAAAAGCUCGUAGUUGAACUUCAGACCUGGCCGGGCGGUCCGCCUUAACGGUGUGUACUGUCUGGCCGGGCCUUACCUCUUGGUGAGCCGGCUUGCCCUUCACUGGGUGCGUCGGGG
rnacentral:rRNA from 1 species